rnacentral:rRNA from 1 species
UACGUAGGGGGCUAGCGUUGUCCGGAAUCAUUGGGCGUAAAGCGCGCGUAGGCGGCCAGAUAAGUCCGGUGUGAAAGUCACAGGCUCAACCUGUGAAUGCCGCUGGAAACUGUCUGGCUAGAGUCCGGAAGGGGCGAGUGGAAUUCCUGGUGUAGCGGUGAAAUGCGCAGAUAUCAGGAGGAACACCGGUGGCGAAGGCGGAUCUCUGGGCCUUACCUGACGCUGAGGCGCGAAAGCUAGGGGAGCGAACAGG